CUCUUCGUUGUAGGUCUUUGUCUGAUUUGAGGUCUGCAAUUGUUCGAUUGGGGUAGUACGUGGUUUGAAUUUGAGGAUUUGAGGUAGGUUUGUGUUCAGGUUUAGAUUUGUGGGGAUGGAUUAGGGAAUUUGUUUGUGUUCGACCUAGUUCUGUAGGGUCUAAAAAAUUGGGGAUCUAAUGAGAGGUGCCUGAACUAUGUUUCUAUAGGUUGCCUGGUAUUCCUCUCGAUUUGGGGUGUGUAAAUUUUGUGUAUUUGUGUGUUCAUCAAUUUCUAUGUUUUCUUACUUGUGUCAUCGGUUAGUAAAGCUAGGAAAUGCAUCUGGAGGUGACUAAGAGUGUCAGAUUAGCACCAGGUGUUUGAUGGAAUCCAACCAUUCGCAAGGUGCUUGGAGGUAGCUGUUGCUGUGGACCACUGUAUGAUGGCAAAUGUUUUCAGUUUUCACCAAUGUGAGUUUGGGGCACGUGGUUGUCUCCUUCACAUAGACCAUCAAGGCUAUGGAGCCCUUCUUCUCGGUGCUCUUCUUAGUCCUGUUCCUAUGAGAGGUAAUUGGCUGAAAGGAGGAAACUGUCUAGGAUUACUACCAGAGAGACCCAGUAGCAACAAACCAAGUGCACAACCUUCUAUUGAAUAGAAGAAGAGUGCAUAUUCGCCAGCUACAAAGGCAGAGCUAAUAAGGGAUUGUCUCUUAGAUCUUAAACAACAAACAAGGCUGAAAGGAGGCAAUUAGGAUUUCCACCAGAGAGAUCCAACAGCAUGAAACCAAGCACCACCUGCUGUUGAAUAGAAGAAGAUAUCUUUAGUUGGAAUUCUAUUUUUCUUUUUACCAAGAUGGUUAUAGUGUAAAAAAAUAUAUUAUUCCAGUUUUGAGCUUACCAUGUGCCUUUAUCAUUAAUUUGGUGAGUCAGAUGAGGUUAUUAAAAGUCUUAAACUUCUUAGGGGAACACAACUUUGCUACAAGAUCAAUCUCUUCUGGUAUAUUGUGUGAAUAUGCAGAGUGCAUUCGCCGGCUACAAGGCAGAGCUGAUAAGAGAUUGUCUCUCAUAUCUUAACAACAAAACAAGGGUGGGGACAAAGAGAAUGUGAGACUAGAUAGCUGGAGCAUCGGUUUUAUUUUCAUGUUUGGUAUGAAGAUGGAUCAGGAGAAAUUUGUAAUUGUAACUUUCUUGUAAGCCCAAAAAGAUUGUAACUAUUUGGUUUGUUGUAAUUAUUGACUUUUGUGUUGACAUCAAAGUAGUUUUGAAAAAAAAAUAGUGUAAAUUUAUUUUCUAGCAAAAAAAAACUUGUAAUUUUUUCUGGGAUGCUUUAUUUACACUCCAGUUGAUAAAAAUAUGUAGUUCUUUGGCUCAAA